GAUGAACGCUAGCUACAGGCUUAACACAUGCAAGUCGAGGGACCGGCGCACGGGUGCGUAACGCGUAUCCAACCUGCCCCCAACUCCGGAAUAGUCCCCCGAAAGGGGGGUAACGCCGGAUGCGUUGGGGCUGGGGAUGCGUCCCAUUAGGUAGUAGGCGGGGUAACGGCCCACCUAGCCGACGAUGGGUAGGGGUUCUGAGAGGAAGGUCCCCCACAUUGGAACUGAGACACGGUCCAAACUCCUACGGGAGGCAGCAGUGAGGAAUAUUGGUCAAUGGGCGAGAGCCUGAACCAGCCAAGUAGCGUGUGGGAAGAAUGCCUAUGGGUUGUAAACCACUUUUGCAGGAGGGUAAGUAUCCUGCGAAUAAGGACCGGCUAAUUCCGUGCCAGCAGCCGCGGUAAUACGGAAGGUCCAGGCGUUAUCCGGAUUUAUUGGGUUUAAAGGGAGCGUAGGCGGGGAGUCAAGUCAGUUGUGAAAAGCCACGGCCCAACCGUGGUCGUGCAGUUGAAACUGGUUCUCUUGAGUGCGCACGAGGACGGUGGAAUUCGUGGUGUAGCGGUGAAAUGCUUAGAUAUCACGAAGAACUCCGAUUGCGAAGGCAGCCGUCCGGAGCGUUACUGACGCUGAGGCUCGAAGGUGCGGGUAUCAAACAGGAUUAGAUACCCUGGUAGUCCGCACAGUAAACGAUGGAUGUCGGCUGUCGGCGGUGGCCACGCGAAAGUUUUAAGCAUCCCACCUGGGGAGUACGCCGGCAACGGUGCAACUCAAA
rnacentral:rRNA from 1 species